AAGCAAGAAAGAGAGAGAAAGAGAGGAAGAACAAAGGGAAAAACAAGAAAACCUAGGUGGAAAAUUUAAAGAAAAAGUGAAGAAAUCAAGGAAACAAGCAAGGUAAGUUAGAAUUUCUUUAGUUCUCCUUGAUACCUAGCUUACCCAUGCUUUUGUUCUUGAUUUCCAUGGUUGAAUAUUGAGUUAUUAUGAUGAAUUUAAUUCUGAAAAAAUGGGUUAGGAGAGAGAAACUUGUUAGAUUAAUUUAAUUUUAAGUUAUGUUAGUGUUUUAAGUUAGUUUAGCAUAUUUAGAAACAAAACAACAAGAAAAGAACUUAUUUUCUCCCACAAUCAUUAAUGGCCGAAUUUAUUAUGUGUUGAGUGAGGAUAAAUUUGAUUUUCAUUUUAGGAGAAUUGGUUAAGAAAUGAUGAAUUAUGAGCCUAGAAAAAAUAAUGGAAAUUUUCGGAGCAAAAAAUACGAUUUUUACCCACUAGGGGUAUUUUCGUAAUUUACUAUCGAGACUGAUAAAUUGAAUCUCAUUCACAGUCAUUAAGGUAAUUUAGUUAUAAUUGGAGUGUAGAAAGUGAGAAGAAUUGAUUUGGAGUUAAAUUGGAGAUAAUAGGCCGAAUUAGGUCAACACCGCAUUUAAGCGGUAGUCGGAUAAGUUGUAUAUCAUAUCAUGCAUAUAUACCGAGCCUGAAUUGAUUUUAUAAUGGUCAAGCAUUGAUGUGGUGAAUUAUGUAUUGUACAUUGUGGAUAGGUGGUGAGCAAAGUACACUGGUAAAAGUACAGAGAUUGUGCUUGGAGACUGGGAUUAGGAGUACAUCGACUCCUAGAACUGUGAGUGAACUUAUUAUCGUCUUAAUUAUCUAGAGUAGUUUUAUACAAUUGUGUGAUUUUAUGAAAAAUGGGUUUAAAUGGUAAAUUGCUAUGUUUUAAGAGAAAUUGUGAUUUUAUAAAAUGAUUUUAUAAAUUUUCUGAAAAAUCGAAUAUUGGUUUUGAAAAUAGAGUAAUUGGAGACUGCUAGUUUGUGUUGCAAAUUUAUGGUUUUGAAUUGAAUGGCUUAUGACAAUAAAUGAGCAUGAAUGGCUAAACUGAUUUUGGUGUUAGAAUUAUUUAUACUGUGUAUUCAGCCUUGAGAGGCUAGGUUGCGAUAAAUUGCCAUGUCAUGCUAGAAUGAAUUUUAUUGAUUGGUGGAUUAUAUAUUAAUUAUUUACUGCAGAGGGGGUUCCGUGGACCAGCCUAUUAGAGGGGCACGGUAAACUCCAUUAUAUUAUUACCUCGAACGGAGAGGCGCGUAGGGUAUCUCCUGGGGUAAAGCUUAGGGUUCACUUCACGCCAAACCACCACGUGAAGGGGAACUCAGCCAACGCCAAGGAACGAUUGUAUUUUUCUCAAACUAAAAUAUAUUUUAAGUGUAUACAAAAUUUUAACAGCCUUGGCGGACUCGGUUAGAUGCCCUGCGCAAGGUAUCACCGAGUAUGAGUUUUGGCACGAGCUAAAGUUUUAAGAAAUUCAUAAGCUAAGUUGAUUACUCGAUUUUUAUGGAUUGAUUUUAUUUGGUUGAAAUGAGUUGAAGAAAGGUAAUGAAAUUACAGUAUGAUGAAUUAUUUUAAUUGUCCCUAUUUACUCGACUUUAGAUAGUUAGAUGGUAUCUUUUUACUCAUUGGGAUUUUAUAAUCUCACAACUCUCUUUUCCUCACAUUUUAGGCUCGGGGGAUUCCAUAGUUAGCUGACUUUGACAAGUACCUUCAUUUGGACUCGAAUCGAUAAAAGCUGUAGGUUUCUAGCUUUUGAUGCAUUUUGGAUAGAUGUGGCCCACAUGUCACUGUAAAAGAAAUUUUAUGCUUUGUUUAUUUGCUUUAUAGUAUAUAUGAAUAUAAUUAUUUUUUACGCUAUAAGAAUUAUGUACCGAUAGUUUUAUGAAAAUUAUUUUACAAGAAAAUACUUUAUUUUAUUGAAUAUUUUUAUUAUAUUCAACUGGUCAAAUUUUCACUUCAAAUGAACGUUUUAGAUACUUAAUCUUUUUUUUAAAUCAUUAAAUAUAAUUUUUUCGGCUUACCUAUUACAUUUUUAGCAAUUUUUGAGAUUUUCGACAAAAAAUGACGAAGAAAAUGCCCCUGUGAGCAAAAAAAAAAUGUUAUGUUAUGACUUGAAAAUGAUUUGUAAUCCUUCGUAUUUUGGUUAUUUGAUAACUAUUGCUCACCAGGGAAGUGCGAAAGCUGAUACGAGAGCCUUGCGAGGUUUCGAUCGACAUUCAGGGUGAAGAAUGUUUGUCGAGGCUUCGCAGCGGUUGUCACGGGCUCGAUGGGGAGUUCCGGGUCGUGACAGUAUUUCUCUUGCAAGCUUAGGUGGCAUAAAGUAGAGAAUAAUGUAAUUGACAAAUGAAUAUAACACAUGAAAUAGAUCAUCAAGAAAGCAUUGGUGUUCAUUGCUACACUACCAUGUCAAUUUUAAGUUGAUAGAAUUGAGUGGUAUAUGUAAUUAGAGUUACUACUAUUCUCCUAUGUCAUAAACUUUAUUGGAUAGAAGGAAUUUUGGAGUAAUCUCAAGACCAAUCUAUUUUAUUUUGAGGUCAUAAAGUUUAUAGUUAUUUAAACUAGUGAGUAGUUUUUAAGAAAAUUUGUUUUUAAAUUUGAAUUUAAAUAAUGUAGUCCA
rnacentral:lncRNA from 1 species